rnacentral:rRNA from 1 species
CCUACGGGAGGCAGCAGUAGGGAAUUUUCCGCAAUGGGCGAAAGCCUGACGGAGCAAUACCGCGUGAGGGAUGACUGCCUGUGGGUUGUAAACCUCUUUUCUCAAGGAAGAAGUCCUGACGGUACUUGAGGAAUAAGCAUCGGCUAACUCUGUGCCAGCAGCCGCGGUAAUACAGAGGAUGCAAGCGUUAUCCGGAAUCACUGGGCAUAAAGCGUCUGUAGGUGGUUUGGUAAGUCUGCUGUUAAAGACUGGGGCUCAACCCCAGAAAAGCAGUGGAAACUGCCAAACUUGAGUGUGGUAGAGGUAGAGGGAAUUCCUAGUGUAGCGGUGAAAUGCGUAGAUAUUAGGAAGAACACCAAUGGCGAAAGCACUCUACUGGACCAUAACUGACACUGAGAGACGACAGCUAGGGGAGCAAAUGGGAUUAGAUACCCCAGUAGUCCUAGCCGUAAACGAUGGAUACUAGAUGUUGCACGUAUUAACCCGUGCAGUAUCGUAGCUAAGGCGUUAAGUNUCCCGCUGGGAAGUACGCUCGCAAGAGUAAGUAACGUACGAAAGGAAAGUUAGUUACGGCGUGAGACGUUGCCGACGGACGACGACGAGGGAGGUUAGG